GCCGCUGUCGCGCGCGCACCGCGGCGGCACGGCGCUAGUGCUGCUGCUGCUUCUGUCGCCGUCACCGUCCUGCAGGCGGCGGCGGCGGCAGUCGUCGCCGUCUCCCCGCAUCAGCUGCUGCCGCCGGUGGUCCGCCGCCUGCAGGGUCUCCUCGCUCGCCAUGGAUAUGAUCGCCCUUGCCUGAUGCACCAACACAGCCGUAAAUUAAACCCGUACACACCAACCAGUAACUUGAAACAGUAAUUACACGAGUUUAAUCAACUAUUAAACACAGUUAAGCUAAUUGUGGAAUGCAUACAUCUCGAUCAAGACGACGUGCGAGUACGCUGUUGCAGAAAUCGACGUGCAUAAAAAUCCUCAGUCGUCAAAGUCAAAAAGAAGGCAAUGCUUUUUUCCCCCUGGCCUCGACGUGUUGGUUUGGUUUGGUUGUGUGCCAGUUCGUCGUUAGCGCGCGUCGUUGUUUGCGUGUGGAGAAUGGAGAUAAGAAGAUGGCGGCAGAUGGAGACGACGACGACGACGACGAGACGAAGACUACAAUUAUAUUUUCUGGAGGGAGGCGAAGUCAGACAUUGUUAUGACUUUUACGAUCGAGAUUCGAGAGUUGAUGAUCAUCAUCACACACAGGUUUUAUAGCGUGGUUAAUUAAUUGCGGUGUGAUUUGGUCAACGACCCAGCUACCAGCUGACGAUCGAUAUGCAUGGCGCGUAGUAUGUGUGUCCCCUCGAUUUGGCGCAGCACGUGCGGAAUUGUUCUGUGAGAAUUUUCAACGGUGACCGAGCCAUGUUAGCUGCAUGCAACGACUGAGACCUCGAUCGGAGUAAAAUCACCUAGCUCGCUCAGUUUCUUUUCAUGGAAUUUGUGCGCCGGGCCGGGAUGAAAAUUCCCAAGAGACUAGUGUUCCUGUUUUAUUGGUUUAUUCUACUCCUCAAUUUCAAAGUUAUAAGUCAUUCUAAUUUUUUUUAGACAUAUAGCUUUUACUAUGAAUAUAGAUAAGUAAUAUAUAUUUAGGUUAGUAGCAUAAGCUAUGUGUUAGAAAAGUUAGAAUAACUUACAGUUUGUUAUGGAGC
rnacentral:lncRNA from 1 species